rnacentral:rRNA from 1 species
GAUGAACGCUGGCGGCGUGCCUAAUACAUGCAAGUCGAGCGAACAGACGAGGAGCUUGCUCCUCUGACGUUAGCGACGGACGGGCGAGUAACACGUGGAUAACCUACCUAUAAGACUGGGAUAACUUCGGGAAACCGGAGCUAAUACCGGAUAAUAUAUUGAACCGCAGGGUUCAAUAGUGAAAGACGGCUUUGCUGUCACUUAUAGAUGGAUCCGCGCCGCAUUAGCUAGUUGGUAAGGUAACGGCUUACCAAGGCAACGAUGCGUAGCUGACCUGAGAGGGUGAUCGGCCACACUGGAACUGAGACACGGUCCAGACUCCUACGGGAGGCAGCAGUAGGGAAUCUUCCGCAAUGGGCGAAAGCCUGACGGAGCAAUGCCGCGUGGGUGAUGAAGGUCUUCGGAUCGUAAAGCUCUGUUUUUAGGGAAGAACAAAUGUUUGAGUAGCUAUGGACGUCUUGACGGUACCUAAACAGAAAGCCACGGCUAACUACGUG